UUUCCACAAUAGAGAGAAUGAACGACAUUUCAUUUUAUUAAAACCAGAAAGGAUGCUGUUGGCCAUUUUGCCCAACAUCCUCAUCAGUACUGGCCAGGGGGGUCACUGCUUGCUCUCUGGAUUGGGUCAACAAUAUACCUCUGACCCAGGACUUUUUCAGGUAGUAAUCUGAGUGCUACUGAUGCUGUCUGAGCAAUAUUAUCCUGCAAUUAUUCUGCAAAAAAUUUAUUUUUCUAUAUUUGUUUUGUCGUUUAAGGAUCCUAAACCCCAGAUUUUCUUAACUGUGUUUCAAGGAGGCAAUGACUGCUUGCUACGUACUGGAAUGUGACCUUUAUAUUUGAUAUUAACUAAUGGGGACGAAAUCGCUUUUGGCUCUUGAUAUUCCUAAGUGUUCCCCUUUGGGGGCUGGAUUCCUUCCCAGCAAGUGGCAGCAGCCACCAGCAAAGGCUGUUGAAAUGUCAGAUGGCGAAAACAAGCAAGAGUUCCAGAUGGAGCAACUGGAUGAGAAACAUGACAAAGAUGGUAAUGGGAAAACUUCAGAUUCACACUUGAUUGGGAGUCCCAUGCUUGGGACUGGGAGUCCCCACCUGUGGCUUCCAAACCCACUCUCAGUGCAAGCUCUUGUGAAAAGCAGCAUCCCAUGAGGAAGUUCUUCAUUACCAUGGACUGAUGACUGAAAUAAUUAAAAGAAGCAUGUUGUGGUGCUCACAGCCUCCUACCUGCUGGUCUGCAAAUGGGACCUCACCACACUGAGCUCCUUCCCAGCGCAGCAAAAGUCACUGACCACCAUCGACUGUGUUGGCCACUUCACCAUUCCAGAGGAAUCCAGAGAAGUGAGUACUGGGAGUCCCUCAGCUGAGUGCACAGAUGUUGGGGCUGUGUCAUUGCCUGCAUCUUUCUCCACUUCUGGACUCUAAAUGAGUUAAUCCAACAGCUGUAGCAAUAGGAUUUCCUGUGCCUCUCUGCAGGAGGGCUGUGGAAGUGGAGCAGAACAGCCAACUUCAGAGAACUGAGCUGACAGGACCAACUCUGGCAUUUUGGCUGCUGCAGGUGGGCCAAGCAAUCACCAGGAAGUGGCAUCCAUCCUCUGAAGAUAACAUGACCCAUGCUGGCCGAGAACAUUGAUCUGAAGCUGUAUCCUGCAAAUGCUGAGCCCAUUGGUGAGCUGUAGGAGGCCUUCAGCAACCAUCAACCUCACUCCAGAAGGAAAGGGUAGAAUUUCCUGGAUGAUCAAGCUGGUAAAAGGAAAGGCUUCCUGGAGGUGCACUUCCCAGCAUGGCAAAUCCUGCACAGCGUGCACAGAACAGCUUCAGAGAUGGCAAAGACUGCAAGGGAAAGAAGAAGGCAUGAGAAAUCCCUCAAAUCAUUUGAAGGAAGGAUUGGUUCUGCUCCAGUGAAACCUGUGGUCUGUGACCCCUGUGAGACCUUUAGUGAACAUUAGGGGAAGAAUUGCAGUAGAAGUUUCAUUGCACUCUGCAGGUCUUCUGCUUGAGAAAGGAACAGCCAGCUAUCAAGGCAGUGCCCCACUUUGAAUUUUUGUAUCUCCUUCUUUGUCUUAUGAACUAUACACCUGGAGAUGUGUCUCAAUGGUCAGUGCAACCAGCUGGGCACAGUGCUGAGCAAAGGCUGUAUCUCCUCUGUCUAGGAUGUCAGACCCUACUAAGAGCUACCAUCAGUUACACACAAAGUCCCCAAAUAUCUUGGUGUCUCCAUAAUACAAUGUAUUGAGCUGGGGGUAAGUUGGGUCCCUUAACAAAGAAAAGCCCACAGAACCAGGCUUCACAGAGGGGAAUUUUUAAGUGACUUUUAAGUGUGUGGCCAGGGGCCUGCUAGAUGUUCUCCAGCUCUGUUCUGCUUCCAGAUCCUGGUGAUAGACACGGCAUUCAGUAGAAGCUCUACCAGCCAGUCCAUCAGAGCAGGGCAUGGAUGCAAGAAUUCAAGGAUGAGGAGCUGGCUUUAGACAGUAUGUUUGCACCCAUCUGAAACCUGUCCACUGUCUGAGAUAUUAAGUCAUUUUCUGAGCUUCUCAUUAUUGCUUUGUGCUCUUUCUCUAUUGUGUUUGUAUAAAGCAUAAGCCUUUGGGGUAGAACUUUUCUGCCUUUGACACUCCCAACUCAUUCUUGCAAACAUAUAUUUGUUGUUGUUGUUGUUGUUGUUGUUGAGUAACCAGUAAUAAAUAAUGUUUUGGUCAAGACUCUUGCAAUGUGUAGCUGAA